rnacentral:rRNA from 1 species
AUUGAACGCUGGCGGCAUGCCUUACACAUGCGAGUCGAACGGCAGCACGGGUGCUUGCACCUGGUGGCGAGUGGCGAACGGGUGAGUAAUACAUCGGAACAUGUCCUGUAGUGGGGGAUAGCCCGGCGAAAGCCGGAUUAAUACCGCAUACGAUCUACGGAUGAAAGCGGGGGACCUUCGGGCCGCGCGCUAUCGGGUUGGCCGAUGGCUGAUUAGCUAGUUGGUGGGGUAAAGGCCUACCAAGGCGACGAUCAGUAGCUGGUCUGAGAGGACGACCAGCCACACUGGGACUGAGACACGGCACAGACUCCUACGGGAGGCAGCAGUGGGGAAUUUUGGACAAUGGGCGAAAGCCUGAUCCAGCAAUGCCGCGUGUGUGAAGAAGGCCUUCGGGUUGUAAAGCACUUUUGUCCGGAAAGAAAUCCUUGGCCCUAAUACGGUCGGGGGAUGACGGUACCGGAAGAAUAAGCACCGGCUAACUACGUG